GCCUAAUACAUGCAAGUCGAACGCUUCUUUUUCCACCGGAGCUUGCUCCACCGGAAAAAGAGGAGUGGCGAACGGGUGAGUAACACGUGGGUAACCUGCCCAUCAGAAGGGGAUAACACUUGGAAACAGGUGCUAAUACCGUAUAACAAUCRAAACCGCAUGGUUUUGAUUUGAAAGGCGCUUUCGGGUGUCGCUGAUGGAUGGACCCGCGGUGCAUUAGCUAGUUGGUGAGGUAACGGCUCACCAAGGCCACGAUGCAUAGCCGACCUGAGAGGGUGAUCGGCCACAUUGGGACUGAGACACGGCCCAAACUCCUACGGGAGGCAGCAGUAGGGAAUCUUCGGCAAUGGACGAAAGUCUGACCGAGCAACGCCGCGUGAGUGAAGAAGGUUUUCGGAUCGUAAAACUCUGUUGUUAGAGAAGAACAAGGAUGAGAGUAACUGUUCAUCCCUUGACGGUAUCUAACCAGAAAGCCACGGCUAACUACGUGCCAGCAGCCGCGGUAAUACGUAGGUGGCAAGCGUUGUCCGGAUUUAUUGGGCGUAAAGCGAGCGCAGGCGGUUUCUUAAGUCUGAUGUGAAAGCCCCCGGCUCAACCGGGGAGGGUCAUUGGAAACUGGGAGACUUGAGUGCAGAAGAGGAGAGUGGAAUUCCAUGUGUAGCGGUGAAAUGCGUAGAUAUAUGGAGGAACACCAGUGGCGAAGGCGGCUCUCUGGUCUGUAACUGACGCUGAGGCUCGAAAGCGUGGGGAGCAAACAGGAUUAGAUACCCUGGUAGUCCACGCCGUAAACGAUGAGUGCUAAGUGUUGGAGGGUUUCCGCCCUUCAGUGCUGCAGCUAACGCAUUAAGCACUCCGCCUGGGGAGUACGACCGCAAGGUUGAAACUCAAAGGAAUUGACGGGGGCCCGCACAAGCGGUGGAGCAUGUGGUUUAAUUCGAAGCAACGCGAAGAACCUUACCAGGUCUUGACAUCCUUUUGACCACUCUAGAAAUAAGAGCUUCCCCUUCGGGGGCAAAGUGACA
rnacentral:rRNA from 1 species